AAUCAACGCUGGCGGCGUGCCUCAGACAUGCAAGUCGAACGAUUAAAGCUCUCUUCGGAGAGUGUAUAGAGUGGCGCACGGGUGAGUAACACGUAAGUAAUCUACCCUCGAGUGGGGAAUAACGUCCGGAAACGGACGCUAAUACCGCAUAAUGCAGCGGCACCGCAAGGUGACAGUUGUUAAAGGAGAAAUUCGCUUGAGGAGGAGCUUGCGGCAGAUUAGCUUGUUGGUAGGUAACGGCUUACCAAGGCUACGAUCUGUAACCGGUCUUAGAGGACGGUCGGUCACACUGACACUGAAUAAUGGGUCAGACUCCUACGGGAGGCAGCAGUCGGGAAUUUUGGGCAAUGGGCGAAGGCCUGACCCAGCAACGCCGCGUGAAGGAUGAAGUAUUUCGGUAU
rnacentral:rRNA from 1 species